CUGUAAGCCUGUGAAGGUGUACUGUGAGGUAUGCUGGAGGUAUCAGAAGUGCGAAUGCUGACAUAAGUAACGAUAAAGCGGGUGAAAAGCCCGCUCGCCGGAAGACCAAGGGUUCCUGUCCAACGUUAAUCGGGGCAGGGUGAGUCGACCCCUAAGGCGAGGCCGAAAGGCGUAGUCGAUGGGAAACAGGUUAAUAUUCCUGUACUUGGUGUUACUGCGAAGGGGGGACGGAGAAGGCUAUGUUGGCCGGGCGACGGUUGUCCCGGUUUAAGCGUGUAGGCUGGUUUUCCAGGCAAAUCCGGAAAAUCAAGGCUGAGGCGUGAUGACGAGGCACUACGGUGCUGAAGCAACAAAUGCCCUGCUUCCAGGAAAAGCCUCUAAGCAUCAGGUAACAUCAAAUCGUACCCCAAACCGACACAGGUGGUCAGGUAGAGAAUACCAAGGCGCUUGAGAGAACUCGGGUGAAGGAACUAGGCAAAAUGGUGCCGUAACUUCGGGAGAAGGCACGCUGAUAUGUAGGUGAAGCGACUUGCUCGUGGAGCUGAAAUCAGUCGAAGAUACCAGCUGGCUGCAACUGUUUAUUAAAAACACAGCACUGUGCAAACACGAAAGUGGACGUAUACGGUGUGACGCCUGCCCGGUGC
rnacentral:rRNA from 2 species